rnacentral:lncRNA from 1 species
CUCUCUCUAGUCUCUAGGUCACAAGACACAACAUCACUUAGCAGUUAGCAUUAGCCGACUAGCAGUAGCAGUUAGCAAUUAGUUUCUUUAGCAAUUAGUGAGCAGCGACUAACAGCGAACCCACCGGAGCGAUGAACGGCGGAUAGUCAGCGUCUCAGCGGCGAUCAGAUAUCAUUUUCUUUUCUAUUUUUUUUAUUUUUCUUCUUCUUCUUUUUGUUUUUUCUAUUGACUGAUUCAGUGAUUUGUAAAAUAAGGUCGACUGUUAAUAGACACGUAGUAAACCUACUUUCACUUUUGAUUUUUAAUAAAAUGCAAAAUCUUCUAUCAUGAUCGAUAAUUUGAUGUUCAUAUAUUUCC